rnacentral:rRNA from 1 species
AACGACUCUCGGCAACGGAUAUCUCGGCUCUCGCAUCGAUGAAGAACGUAGCGAAAUGCGAUACUUGGUGUGAAUUGCAGAAUCCCGUGAACCAUCGAGUCUUUGAACGCAAGUUGCGCCCGAAGCCAUUCGGCUGAGGGCACGUCUGCCUGGGUGUCACGCA